AUGUUCCGGUUGGUUCCGCUGAGCCAGCUCAGGAAUCCGAAGGGCCGUGACGGGACUCCCGGGAACAACGAGGACCGCAAAAGCAUCUUCAUCACCGCGACCGGAUCCAGGAAGGUGAUUCAGGUGCUCUCUGUGAAGCCCGCCCCGUCAGCGGGAACCUGCAGGUUUCGGCUUGUCUCGGCCGGCGACCGCAGCAACGCGUCGCUCAGUCUCCCCCUGCCCAAGCUUCCCCCGCUCACACCUGCUGGUUCCAGUGGAACCGACCAGAGCGUCAGAGCUGCUGGUUCCAGUGGAACCGACCAGAGCGUCAGAGCUGCUGGUUCCAGUGGAACCGACCAGAACGUCAGAGCUGCUGGUUCCAGUGGAACCGACCAGAACGUCAGAGCUGCUGGUUCCAGUGGAACCAACCAGAACGUCAGAGCUACUGGUUCCAGUGGAACCGACCAGAACGUCAGAGCUGCUGGUUCCAGUGGAACCGACCAGAACGUCAGAGCUGCUGGUUCUAGUGGAACAAACCAGAACGUCAGAGCUGCUGGUUCCUGUGGAACCAACCAGAACGUCAGAGCUGCUGGUUCUAGUGGAACUGACCAGAACGGCGACAUCCGACGGAUCGCUUAUAGCGGAACGGACCUGAACAUCAUCUGUGUGGACAACGAGUCCGAUGUCCUGACGAAUGAAGGGCAUGUGGGCGUGGCUAGGAUAUCCUCCAGGGCCUCGUCGGCCGUUGUGCAGAGGGCAGAGCAUGACGUGGUGGUUUUGUCGUCCAGUGAUCUGAGCGAUUCGUCCUUGGACAGCAAGCGGGAGGACGGGCCUGGCGACGGCGCUAGGCGAGACAGGCGUAACAGCCGUUUCAGGCUCUUGGAGGCGGAAUGCAGAAAGGCCAUCGAUGUGGGGGUAGCCAGACGGCAGAAGGAGAUGGGGCUCGGAGAAAAGACUCCCAAAGUCACAACCAUCAAGCAGGCCCGUGAGGAGUUGCUGGAGCUGAGGAGCUCGGAGGGCAAGCUGGCGCGACUCAAUGUCGCGGCCUCACCGAGGAGGCAGCGAGGGGAACGCAUCAGGGCUCUGGCCCUCAGGACAGGGAGGUCAGAGGCGUCCGUCUCCAGAGAACUGCUGCUGCUGUCCAAUGGGAACGCGCAACCUGGACGGACAGGAAGUGAUCCGCCGUCGGCUCCCGAGGUCGUGGCUCGGAUGGAAGAGACGGACUCCGAUGAGGAGAACCUUCCCUCAGACACGCGCGACUACAUCGGCAGCAGCGUCCGUGGUGACGGCAAGGUCGACAUUGAGGCAUUGGCGGAUGACGUAUCAAAUACCGUGGAUGACAAGAAGUGUCUGGUCACGGCCUUCAAGUCUCUACGCUCUGAACUCAACUGUAUGACCGCAACCAAAACGGAACUCCUGGCCUCGGCCUGCAGCGUGAUCUGUGAUCUGAAGGACGAGGAGAAGCUCUGUGAGAAGGUUAUGGUGGCCCUGAGACACCAGCGAGCCCGCCUCAUCAACACCAUCUCUGUUAGAUCUGGUGAGAACCUGGUUAGGGUGAACACUGGAGAAGCAGGAAGAACCCAGUAG
rnacentral:lncRNA from 1 species